rnacentral:lncRNA from 1 species
ACCCUAAGGGAUGGAUCAAGGAGAGGAAUUGAGGAAGGACAGAGAGCAGGAGCAUAUGGACAGAGGAGAGGCAGAAGCCGGGCUCUGCAGGGCUGUGGAAGCUGGAGGAGUAGGUUGUCCCAGAGUCCCGUACCCCUGGGGAUCCAGGAAGUUACACUGAGGUGAGGCCAACUGCUCUGUGUGUGGAAGCCAGAGAAGAAAGCAGCACAGAACAGAUGCAAACCAAGGAGGCUGGAAGAUAAGAGCAGAGCCAUCAGGACACGAGCCCCUCGCGGGUAUGAAACAGGAGUCGUGGGAGCAAAUUAGUAGAGCUUCCUGUGUGCAGCAUGGAUCUAAAGCUGGUGGAUGCAGGGGGGUGAACAAGACAACAUCUUCACUUCCUGCAUGCUGAUGGCAGAAGUGAGACAUCAGCGAAGAAACAUCACGAUCACCAAAUUACGAUGAACACCAUGGAGGAAACAAAGGACACUGUGACACCAAGGAAGGAAGGGAGGUUACUUUUCAUAGUGGCUGUAAAUAGAACUGAAGGCUGAAAAACAGCUGUUAAAAUGGCUUGUUUGUUUGAAGAUGAAUGAGAGUACACAAUAAAAGGUAAUUCUCCCUCCCAUCCCCAAUGCCAGCUUCCCUGUUUCUCUCCCCAGAAGCAGCCAUGGUUCAUCACAUCCAUUUCCAGAGGUAUCCUAGGAGCAAGCUGUAUGAGGAACCGGGGAAAGAGGAGCAUGUGCAAAGGCCCUGGGGUGGAAAGGGCCUGCUGUGCUCUGAGCUGCAGCAGAGCUUCUCAAGCCUUAAUUUGCAUUUGAAUCACCCAGGGAUCUUGCUGAAAUCCUGAUUCCUGAUUCAGUAGGUCUGGAGAGGGCUUGAGAUUUCUAACAAGCUCCAGGUAAUGCUGAGGUGCCUGAUCCAGAUCUCACUUAGAGUAUUAAAUAAAGUCCUAGGGGAUCGUUAGAGAUCAAUCCAGCCA